ACACAUACAUACGCUUACCACUCUGUUGCUAGCUAAUUCCCCGCCGAGAGCCGAUUUUGGUCAGACACGUUUCCUCAACUUGGCUAACAAAAUUCCUGUCUCAAUUAAAUUUAUGACUGGAGCUGUUUCACCCUCGGCAUCGGCAUUCGUUCAUCUUAUUCCACACAGAUAGCAUCCGCAGCUAAAAAUUUCUGCAACUUAUUCAGCCUAGAUCGUAUUACAAAUAGAUCUGUUUGUCUUCGAAGUGGGAGCUUUCUGAGAACUCAAAACUUUUCAAAUAAUAUAAAUUUAGAAUUCCGUGAUUGUUAAGUCUAGCAAUACCGUAUUUGAAACCGUAUAGAAGUAUCAGGUAUGAUGGUUUGUCCUGAGAAUUUUUUUGUAUCAGAAUUGAAAAAUGCUGAACAAUUGUAAUCCAUGCUUAUUUCAGUUUAGAAGUGACAAGUUUUUUAUUGAAAUUGGACAUUUCUUGAAAUCCCAAGACUUUAGAAGUAUCAUUCAAAAUAAAAAAGUACAGAGUUAUUAUAACCGGAUGUUAAUAGCUGUAUAAAAGUGAGAAGUUUAAUAUUGGAAUUUUAAUUAUAUUUUAACAAUCUAAGACUUUUAGGAGUGACAUAACUGAGUUGAAUGAAAUUCUGAUCGGGUGUUUUUGAUAUCUUCAAAAAAGAAUUUCUGGAGAACAAUACAGUGAUUCAGAUCAUGCAACUUAAUAAUUCGAGUCCUGUAAAAGUAACAAGCGUAAUUUAAACAUGGGUAUUAGUAUUGAGUAUAGACGAGUUUUUCUUAGAACAAUAGUGAUAAAAUAAACAACGUCCGAACUUCGUUAUUGUCCGUUACUGUUGUAAUUUGAACUGAGUAUUUUUUUGACAACCCAAUACCGGUCUUUUGAAGUAUCAUAAUUUGAAGAUACAAAGUGUGCAAAAGUUGAAGGAAUGUUCCGAAAGUUGGUUUUUUAAAGUCGAGUAAAAGUUGAAGGAAUGUUUUGAAAGUUGGUUUCUCUCAAUCUCCAAAAAAGGAAGUUUUUAAAAGUUCAGAAACAUCAGGAUUUAAGAUUACAGUGAUUGUAGUAGGUACCGUGAUGUAAUUUUUGAUGUUUUAAGCCGUGUAUUAGCAAGAUAUAUAGAAUUAAAAAGUGAGUAUUUUGUUUCAUACAAGUCUGUAACAGCAGUUGCGCUGCUUGAUGGUAACUUCACAUGUAUACAAUUCGUUUAAUAUUCAGGUCGAGUCGCAAUGUAUUCUAUCAAAGAACAACGUGUGUCUAUUGUACUGCUUUAGAGUGAAUCCGAUUCGUUCGCCAAGUGUCAAAAAACGUUCUUCGAUAAUAUUCAGAGUGGGGGAAAAAUAAGUGUAUUAUUAUAAAAAUAAAAAAUAAGUGUAUUAUCUCCAGAAUGUUGUAUGGCUAUUUCGCUGUAGUUAGUUGUAUAACUUAACACAUCUAGCCAGAAACACAAUGCUUCGUCUGGAGCACGAGCCUAUUGCGAUGGAGAUGAGAAUUGAGAAUAGAGACGAGUCUAUGAAAUAAUGUGGAACGUAGACGGGGAAACCGAGGCCAAGAAUUUUUAGAUGAAGUGUAAUUUUGUAUUUUGUGAAUGAUCCUUUUGACAGGCUGUCCAAUAUGUUGUCCUAAAUUGCGGUCACACCUAAUUUGAUCUUGAAUUUUCAAGCAUUUAGAUUCAUCUGUUUCAUAAUGAAAUCCAAAGAAAUUUGGAAAUUUGUGAGUUGAAAAAUAAAGGUUUUAAUUGGUGAGGUUCAAAGCGUAUUUAGUUUGGAUUUGAUAAAUUACAAACAUAUUCAACGAUUUUCGUAAUAUUAUUAGUGGUAUUUUUUAGUAUCCUUUUGCAUCGUUCUAAAAAUUAGUGCUAUUGAAAGGUGAUAAAUUCCGUUCAUAGCUAAUCCUUUUCAUAUAAAUUCAACAAUCUAAUGAUAGUUGAAAGGGAAAACAAUUUUUUCAGCUAAACAAGGAGUUCAUCAAUUUUAACUUUAUUUUUCUCCUAGAAGCAUCCAAAUUCAAAAGUUAAGAAUUAAGAAAACUUAUUAAAGGUUUGGAAUGCAAUAAUUAGAAAUCAAGAUUCAAUAACAAAUGGAAAUCAAACCCCCCAACAACAGUUAAAUUAUUAUUUAUUCUAUUUAUUCGUUCAAAAACGGUUGACACUAUUAAAUUACAUGGUUAGCAGAGACAGAAUGAAUUUGUGAGAAUUAGAGAGGGGCGCUACAAACUUUAGAAACAUGCAACAGCUCUGUUAAACGUUUCUAAGCAAAAAAGGCCAGAGUGAAGAUUGGCAACCUUCCAGCACCCAAGAGUUCAACUGUUUGUAAUUUUUCAAACUGUCUUCCUCACUAUUAUAUCCAAAUAUGGCAUUCUCAAACUUCGCUGAGUGCUGAGAAUACUUUCUUAAAAAGUGGAACAACGUUAACAUUUUCAAUAAAACUUCAAACUUUUGACGUCAUUUACCAAGCUCAUCAAUAACAAUGACAAAUAAUAAUUUUAAUAACCAGUAGAAAGCACAUCGAAAGUCAUCAAUCCAAUGUGUAUGUACAAUUGGAUUUGAAAAAAAUAUAUAUACUAAUCAAGAUUCAUCCACAAUACGCUACACAAUGUUGACAAUAAUAGCCAUCAAUCUAGGUAUUCAAAUUGGUUGGGAAAAUUGAAAACAUAUAUAACAGAUAGACCUACUAACAUUAUUCUCGCUAGAACAAUCAUAUAAGAGUAUAGAAUAAAAAAAGUUGGCAUAAAAUGUAGAGGGUUAUGAGCAUUAAAUAAAUGUGAAGAGGCAAUUCACAAGUUCUUCUCUCUGAUAAAUGCUAACAAACUUAUGAUUACAAGUGUAGUACGUAAUUAAUCAAUUAAUAAUAUAAUAAGUGAGAGAUCAUACAAAAUUAAGUUCUAUGGAAAGGGAAUCAAGAAUCAUGACAGGGACAGUAAAACCCCAUACAGUACCAGAGAAAACUGACACGGUUUUGAUUAACAAUAAAGGGUAAUUCACGUACCGCCAGAGUAAACUUGGAAGAUUGUUUUAUUCUAUGCCCAUACAUAAUUCAUUGGUAAGAUUAGUUGAUCAAUCAUAAGCCUCAAAUUUGUUCCAUGUCACAUUCCAGCUUCAAAUGCUGCUGAAUAAGCGUUUAGAGAAACAAUCAAUAUUGAAAUAAACUCUAUUAAACCGAUAAAGCUAUUGAACUGUGCCUCAUAUUAUUUUGCUUAUGAGAUUUUUUCUGUUUGUCAUCCUUCAUUUUCAAACUUUUUUAUAUUUAUAAUAUAGAUCUAUUUAUAGAUUUCUUUAUCGGUUAAGUAGCUCACUGAAGGA